UGUUCUUUCUGACAGUUUGUGAUGGAGGAUGUAAACCGUAUCUGUAACUCGCCCCUUUUCAUGGGGACCCAGUGGGCUCCAUUCUCAGAGUAAAAUGUGACCCAUACCUUCCCCCAUACAUGAAGGCGUACAAUGCAGUGGUCUUCCAUGGAUUGUGCUAUGAAGGUGGCUGCACCAUUCUGCAUUCCCACCAGGACUGAUGAGAGUUCCUGUUGCUCCACAUCCUCGCCAGCAUUUGGUGUUGUCAGCAUUCUGGAUUUCCACCAAUCUGACAGGUAUGAAGAGUUACACCAGGGGUAAAUAACAACCCAACCCAGACCAUGCCAAGUGCUGAAAGGCCAAAGAGGUGGCCACAAUUCCAGAAUAAAGCCAGCACUCAGCUGUACGGCUGGCCCCUGAGGAGCUGAGCUGGCCCCUAGCUGGUCGCCAGGUAGGGCCAGAACCAUGCCCCACCCCUGUGUCCUUAGGACCACUCAGAGAACUAUCCCUCAGGGCCUGCACACUGAUGGCCCAGGAGCCUCUGAGAGAUGCCCCAAGAGAAAGAGGCCAGCCUCUCUCCAGCUCUGCCUCCACGUCCAGAGCUGAGCCAGCCCUCCAGUCUGUGGCCUCCCAGCCCCGGACUCUAGCUCUCCAGGGUCCCAGCCCACUCAAAGAAGGCCCAGCUUCACUGAGUGCCCAGGAAUGCACAGCGCUGCCUCCUCAAGCCCCAGCGUGAUGAGAUAUUCUCCAGCAAAUAGGAUUCCUCUGCUGGGGAGUGAGGCCAGCACACGUCAGGUUCCCACACUAUCCCCACCCAAGAAG